rnacentral:rRNA from 1 species
GACGAACGCUGGCGGCGUGCUUAACACGUGCAAGUCGAACGGAAAGGCCCUGCUUUUGUGGGGUGCUCGAGUGGCGAACGGGUGAGUAACACGUGAGUAACCUGCCCUUGACUUUGGGAUAACUUCAGGAAACUGGGACUAAUACCGGAUAGGAGCUCCUGCUGCAUGGUGGGGGUUGGAAAGUUUCGGCGGUUGGGGAUGGACUCGCGGCUUAUCAGCUUGUUGGUGGGGUAGUGGCUUACCAAGGCUUUGACGGGUAGCCGGCCUGAGAGGGUGACCGGCCACAUUGGGACUGAGAUACGGCCCAGACUCCUACGGGAGGCAGCAGUGGGGAAUAUUGCACAAUGGGCGGAAGCCUGAUGCAGCAACGCCGCGUGCGGGAUGACGGCCUUCGGGUUGUAAACCGCUUUCGCCUGUGACGAAGCGUGAGUGACGGUAAUGGGUAAAGAAGCACCGGCUAACUACGUG